rnacentral:lncRNA from 12 species
AUUCAGGGAAACAAUCAGCAUUUAAUUUCAGAGGAAAUUAGAAAAUAAAAUAACUUACUGCUUAUAAAAAAUUUUUAGGAUCUACUACUGAAUAUUAUGCACGGACAUGUUCUCACUUAAAGCUGGUGAUGAGAAUAUUGUUUAUGACUUGAAAAUAUGCAUGGAAUUUUUUGCUAUAAAUUCCUAAAUGCUAUUUGAAUAUUCUAUAAGUACUUCCUAUAGAGCUUUUAGUAAUCAAGUACUGAUUUAAAGGUUAAAAUAGUGACUAUAAAUCCGUUGUUAUGCCCCAUUCUGAGCUUCUCUAAAACCAUGCCUUCUAGGCACUUAAUUUCUCAGUGCAAAUCAUGCUAGUGAUGAAUGGCUCUCUAUGCCUCAGUCUCCUUAAUUUGAAACAAGCCUGUAAUACAUAUGCUUUCUGUUGCUACUGUUGAAUAGAGCUCAUGCUCGGUCAAAAUUACAUUCCUCAUUACUAAUUGUUUUCUUUUUUCAUGUGGUUCUCUGGCAUCUCUUCUGUGGAACACAACUUAUGAGAAUAUCCAAGAAGUGGUAUGUUUCACAGAUGUUAAAUAAGAGAGUAGCGGUGGGAUUGCUGGGACUCACAACAGCAGAGCAAGGAAGUACACGUGCCAGAAGAAUGCUUUGAGCACUUUUGCCUGACAGUAGUUACCUACCGUUUCCUGGCACUUAGAAGACUGUUUGAUAAAGAAGCAUGAACACAUUGCAUUAAAGCCAAUGGGUUCCAAAAAAGG